rnacentral:rRNA from 1 species
UGUAGUCGGUCCCAAGGGUUGGGCUGUUCGCCCGUUAAAGCGGUACGCGAGCUGGGUUAGGAACGUCGUGAGACAGUUCUGUCCCUAUCCGUCGUGGGCGUAGGAAAUUUGAGAGGAGCUGUCCUUAGUACGAGAGGACCGGGAUGGACAUAACUCUGGUGUACCAGUUGUCGUGCCAACGGCAUAGCUGGGUAGCUAUGUGUGGACGGGAUAAGUGCUGAAAGCAUCUAAGCAUGAAGCCCCCCUCAAGAUGAGAUUUCCCAACUUCGGUUAUAAGAUCCCUCAAAGAUGAUGAGGUUAAUAGGUUCGAGGUGGAAGCAUGGUGACAUGUGGAGCUGACGAAUACUAAUCGAUCGAAGACUUAAUCAAAA